GACGAACGCUGGCGGCGUGCCUAAUACAUGCAAGUCGAACGCAGUGGGGAAGGGUGAGUAACACGUGGGUAACCUCCCAUCAGCGGGGAUAACACUUGGAAACAGGUGCUAAAACCGAUACUGAUGGAGGGACCCGCGGGGAAUUAGCUAGUUGGUGAGGUAACGGCUCACCAAGGCCACGAGGCAUAGCCGACCUGAUGGUGUGGGCGUACACACUGAGACUUGGCCACGGCCCAGACGCCUACGUGCGGCAGCAGUAGGUAAUCUUCGGCAGUGGACGAAAUUCUGACCGGGCAACGCCGCGUGAGUGACGAAGUUUUUGGGAUCGUAAAAAUCUGUGGUUAGAGAAGCGGUAUCUAACCAGAAAGCCACGGCUAACUACGUGCCAGCCGCCGCGGUAAUAC
rnacentral:rRNA from 1 species